ensembl:misc_RNA Metazoa_SRP Metazoan signal recognition particle RNA
GCCAGGUGCAGUGGCGUGCACCUGUAGUCCCAGAGACUUGGGGUGCUGAGGCAGGAGAAUCACUCGAGCCCAGGAGGUUGAGGUUGCAGUGACAGCCAUGUUCACGCCACUGCAUUCCAACUUGGGCAACAGAGCGAGACCCUGUCUCAA